rnacentral:lncRNA from 1 species
GCCGUUUGGCAGCCGAGACUAAUGCCUUCCUAAAAAUACUCUCCUCCUGAGGUUGUCAACUUUCAGCUGGGGUCAGAGAGGGAAAAUAAUUGUCCGUGUGUUUGUGUGUCUGUUUCUUUUCAUGUCAAUGGUAGGACCGAAUGCUCCGAGUCAGCUGCUGAAGUAUUCUCUAGUAGUAUUGUUGAGUUUUUUUUAACACAGUAGUGAAACCAUUCAUUUUCCACUCGUACUACUCUACCCCCCCACACACACACACACAGAGAAGGCAGCCACUUUGCUAGUAUCGCCCGUCCUUUAAAAAGCCAACCAUCCUUACUCUAAUUUGGGAGGAAUGAAGGUGUGGCCUGCAUUCCUAUUAGUAUAGAUUUGUUAACGUCGACCCGUGGUUCUGGCCUUUCUCUCGUCCUGUGGUCUGUAUGGGAUUAGCAGCUUCUCAACCCUUUUUGUCACCACCUACAGUAGUUUGCAGCCCCGUGCGUUUCCACCAGAUGUGACUUACCGCAGACUCCAGGGCCAAAACCAGAAGCCGCAGUUGAUGGAAAAGUAUUUGUAAAUGUUAAAACAUAACGGUCUGUUUUUGUUAUGGUCCAGGCAGGAGAGGUAAAUAUGAGUUUAAGCACGUAACAUCGAGACAGAGGAACAAAAACUGAAACUGCAAGUGCUGUAAUGUUACAUAUUCUAGUCUGCGAGGGUUAGAGUAGCAGAGGGUAACUUGUUGAUGCCAGAUCUUCACCGAAAGUUCAGCACAGUUUUUCGCAACACAGUCCUGAAGAUGACUGUUAUCUCUGCUUUAGCUCUUAUGUUCCAGCCCUCACCCCCAACAUCCUACCUUCUCCUCUCCCUCCCUCCCUCCUCCCCGCUCUUAAAAAAAUCACAGACAUAAUCGACAUUCUCUGUUUUUAACGACUUCAACCGACGUCCUUUUGAGGUGGGCACGGCUCUGCGUCCACCUGGAAGGGUCAGGGGGCCACAGAGGGAGUCCUCAGCGGGUUUUCUGCAUCCCCAGACAGCUGCUGUAAAAUGGAAAGGUCACAGUGGGAUCAGGGAGGAGGAGGGCAGAGGCCCCCAGUCACUCAAUACUAAUGUUUUAUUAAUGCCUGGCUGUGAGGGCCACCAUGAACACAAGCUGAAUGAGGCUUUUAUUGUGGCAUCUGUGUACAACAAGCCCCCCCCCUUUCCUUACUCACUUCAGACGCACAUGCACAGUUAUAGUCAGCACGUGCGCACACACUUCGUCUCCGGUCCCUUGAGUAAUCAAUCUGCCACAUUACAGUCUUUGGUAUGGCUGCUUAAAUUUGCAUAAACCUAAUGGAGUUUUUAUUGGUCUUUUCUCCGCGCUGCGAGUAACAAAAAAGGAAAAGGGGAAAAGAUGCUGAAAAUGGCUGAAUAAUCACCCAGACUAAUUUGAUUACGUCUUUAAAAAGAGACGAGCUGUCAUACAGUUACAGGGGCCUCUUUGGAGAGCCAGCUGGGAUGGCACCGAGUGUGUCUGCCUGGUAAUUAAUCUGAAUUACGCAAUAUUAGGGCCUCUGAAGUAGCACUGAAGUGGCGAGCAUUCAUCGACAGAGACGCUCUUUGUUCUAGUCUUAAACUGGAGUUUCAGUAAGGAUUCAUCAAGAAAUGCCUCAUUUUCACCCGCAGCUGCUGCUGCGCCCAGAUACUUGUCUCUCAGAGCUCGUGCUCAAGUCCUUUAUUCGUCCCUGAAAACAGUGCAAACUAAUGUAAAUGAAGUGAGGCUGAUUCAUACAUUAGUCAAUACAGUGAAAGUCUGGGUGGUCAUUAGUAAACAUAGCACAGGCUUUGUUGGACACAAGGGACAGAUAAAGAAAAAGGACUCAGCUUCGAUGUGGCGCAUUGCAAGUAAUUGGGCCUGUUUUAGGAGACGCAGAUGGAGCUCCGAGCGCAGUUGAUGCUGGAAAAUAAUGGAGAUUAAUGUUGUGAUGUUCUUUGAGUCUCACAUUGAUCCUCUUUAAUGUACAGAGUAGUUGAAGGUUUUGUUGUUAUCUUUCUUAUGUAAAACUAAAGCUUGCAUCACUCCCACUUUAAGAGGCCCCAGACAGACGGAGGCAGGUUCAACCUCAGAGAGUGCCAGAGCCAGACAUUUUAUUUAAGACUUGGUCAUCAGCUGAAGGACACAGGGACUCCCUCAUCUUUUACACAGCAGCACACACUGGCUACUGCAAUGCACCAAGGUGAUUUUCAUCUAGGGCUGGGCGAGAAACCGAAAAUUUACUGAUACCGAAAUUGAAGACAAUAACCAAGGUCACUUUGCCCAUAACUGUAUAUUUGGAGUCAAAAUAAAUAAAUUUGGAUGUGUGUAGGUAGGCUUUGGUCUCAUGUCCCUUUAAGACGCUGUCCUACAUCAGAGACGUGACUCUACCCCAUCCAGUCUGUAACAAAGAGGGAAAGACAGGUGAGAAGAUGGAGGACGGUUCAAUAGUUGUGGCGGCUGAAGUAGAUGAAGUUAAUGUUGGAGGGGGUGAGCAUCUUGUGGAGAAGUUAUCGUCCAUUUAACGUUAUCAAGGCGCUCGAUAUAUUGUGAUAUUGAUUUCAGGCCAUAUCGCCCAGCCCUAUCUACACCUGUUAGCAACCUGCACUCGAGAAAUCACACUCCAACCUGGCAGAGAGGUUUGUGAGUCCAUUUUCAGAGCCUUUUAGUCAAUUCAAACUUUUAAUGAUUGAGACAUGAGAAUUUUAAAAAUGCAAUCUCAGAGCACAAUCUAGCUUUUGAUAAAGUGCAGCUUCAUUUCAGCAUGACCUUCCUCUGUGCUGUAGUAAGGAAGAUUUCUAGGUAUGACGGCAGCUCCUUUGAAACAGUGACAUUGUCCUGGCUGAAACAGAACAGAGCAGCGGAGUGUCUCAGAUUCAGAGGAAUGCUCUUCAUCUCAUGCGCUCUAGAGACCAGCAGCAAGACUGAAGCGGUGCAGCCAGUGACCCUUGUACAUGUACAUAAACAGACAGAGAGAUGGUAACAGCAGUGGAAACUUCCACCAGGUUCACAGAAAGCGCCUCGAACGAACGUUGCUUCAUUAGAGUUUGGCUUGCAAAUAACCAAUCGCCAUCAAACUCUUGAAAUAUUUUUUUCAUACUUUUGUUUCUUAGAGUUUUAAAAUGAGAAUAUAUUCAUCUGUUAGUGAGGUUGAGGGAUUUUGUUAACUCGGAGGGCAACAGCCAACUUGUUUCUGUCUUUUUUCCAGUCUUUGUGCUUUUCAAAGCUAACUGACUGCAGGCUGCAACAUUGCUGAUCAGAGGCAUUACAAAAGUUAUCAUCUUUCCACGAAGCUUGUUUGUAACUUUUCUUUACCUCUCUCUCUCUCUGUCUCUCUAUUGUGUCCUACUGUUCUGCUUCAGGCGAGGUAUUCACAACAGUAACAGAUGCGUUCGGAUCAGCGGAGGCUUCUGUAGUAUCAACCGGCUUUGUGAGCCAUGGAAAUGAGAACUCAUUAGGUUAUCCAAACAGGCCCCCCAGCAGAGCUCGCCUGUAACUGUCAACUGUCUUCCUCCCAGAAUAGAGAGCGCACAAACAUCCUUUUGUCUGCACUGACAGGCUUAAGUUGUUAUCUGAAAUAUGCAAAUCAGAGGUAGAAAUCAUGCUGGGGUGCUUCAGUGUAAAAAAGGAAAUCACAACAGCAGAGGAGGAAGGGGAGAAGUCAUUACAGUGUUUAAGGAUAAAUGGUGUUUAAUAUCCACCAAGUUUUGAAAUAGAGCCACAAAGAAAGCCUCUUACAGUACUAUGAAUGAUAUCCGGAUGAAGCAGAGGGUUUAUUUUUGUUGUUCAAUCUGCAUCCAGAGGAGCUCGUGUUUACAGAUCGGGGUUCUCUCCUCUGCCACCCUCAGAUAUUUAUUACCUAACCCCCAUAAAUUGCUCUAGCAGCUUAUUCCCACAUGCCAAG